UGGGGCCACCACCCUCCAAAGCUGUGCC
rnacentral:piRNA from 1 species